UCUGUGCUGAUGAGGAUCAUGAGAUGCAGUUCAAAGAUCUGGGAAAUGCUGGGAGGUUGGAGUCCACAGAAGCAGAAAAAGGACAACGGAAAUCACUCAUCCUGUCCCUGACCACGAGAGAGGACAGAUUUUAUGACCUGCUAAUUAGAAUUCAGAGGACGAACACAGGCCUUAACUCACCUCAGUAAUGAAGUUAUCAAAGGCCGCACUCAUGUUUCAUGUUGUCUGAACUCCGUUGCCUCCUCUGCUGCAAGCGGUCAGCUGAUGGAUAUUAAAAUGAACUCACUCUGUCUUUUGACAAGUUCAUUACUUUCCACCCAUCAAGUAUGGAUUGAACACGAGAAUAUAUCACACCGCCGUCUUAAAUCUUUCAAGUCAUUUUUGCCCAACCACCCGCCCCGAAGGACGCCGUGCCCCUCAGCUAAUAAUCCGGUACAUGUAUCAGUGCUACAGAGCCGGCUGUCCUCUAAAGGAUAUUAAUAUUCAGGUAGUAGUUAACAAGCUAUUCCACGAUAUUCAGAAAGUUAUGACGAGAGAAUGUGCAGCUCCAGGAAGAUACUUCAGCCAUAUGUCAUGAAUUAUAUAACACUGGAGGGUAAUGUGCAGUCUGUGGAAGGACACUGUGUGCCUGCAGUAGAAAAAGACGGACAAGUUUGCAAAAAUGAAAAGUUUGCUGGCUAAAAUUUUGCCAGAAAAACCUUCAGUGCAGCAAUGGAUCAAAGCACGAAGCAACUCUAUGGUUGUAGAGUCUUUCUGGCUGUUUGUUUAUGUGUAUGUCUUGUGGUCAACUCCUUCAAAAUGACUUAUGAUGUGAAGUUAAACAGCCUCUAAAUGCUCACACUCCCUUGCUUUCAUCUCUCACCACUACUGUUGUUUUCUCCACCUUUUCUGGUUUCCUUACAUUAUACAGUUUCCUCUUUAAUCUUCACUUUUCCACACUGGUGUGAAGUGAAAAUAAACACAACACCACACAACUGUACACCUGUUUGUAUAAAGGUGACAUUUUUAGCUUCUUUUUUUCAUUAAAUCUGUGAUUUUUUUUUUGUUUCACCAGAUUUUAAACCUGCUUUUUUUUUAUCUUCUUGGCGACUUGGGGGCUAUAAAUUCAUGUUUUCCCCAACAAAGAAAUAACAUAAAACUGUAUGUGUAUGUGUAUGAGUGCUAUCAACAGACUCUGCAGAGACUUUUUCUUUCUCUGUUGUCAUUCAUGAACUGCAGCCGUGCUGCUUCAAAGGUUUGGUGCACACAGAUUAUGAAAUGUGACACCAACACGUUGUCUGGGCUGCAGACACAGUUGACACUGAUUCAACUGUGCAGUACAUCAAAAGAGUCCGGUUUUUGUCAUCGUGUGAAGUUCACAGACUCUCCUCUUUAAAUUCCAACCACUGUUUCAGUAAAAAAAAAAAAAAAAAAAAUAAAAGCCAGUCAGAGGGUGAUAAAACUCUGCCAGCAAUCCCUGUAAGAAUGAUGUCUGGGGUGAUUUAUAAGGUGUUUUAAAAAGGUCAAACAAUGGACUUCUCAAAUCCUCUGUUACAUAAAACUUGUGCUUUUCAGUC